rnacentral:lncRNA from 1 species
GCAGAAGUGGGACAGCGCAAGGGCCCAUGGGAGCGUUGCCCCUGUGACCCGGGCGGAGAGCCCAUAGGCCCCUGGUGGACAGCAAGUGUCUGUUACCAAACGUGUAGAAGUUUUAGUGAACAGGUGAGAGGAGGAAGUCAGUGUCUGCGGGAGAACUACGUAAGAACCCUUUCGUCCCGCUCGUUCUCGUGGGUCUCUCCCCUUCCAUCUACCCCGGACCUUCUCGCCUCAGCGGCUGUGUGAAGAUGGUGAAGAGCGGCUACCUGGGCGCGCCUGCCUGCGAAGCCCAUGGGCACGCGGCAGCUAGCGGUGUGCGCUUGCGCGCCGUCCGGGCGGGGCGGGACGGGGCGUCUCCCGUCGCUGGCUGGAGGCGGGGCCCGGGCCAGAGCGCCGCGCCCGCGAGCUGACCUCGUUGAACGCCGCCCGUGACGUCACCCCGCCGUGACGCGUACGCAGUAGGAAAACUACACGAGGCAAUCUGCUAAGUGAAGCUUGGAAAUAGGGGUAGAAGUUUGGAAUUGAUUCCUUGGGAAGUAAGAGAAGGACCUGAUUGGAACCUAAGAAAGAAUCGAUGAACAGCUGUGAAAAGGACUUACCCAGGAAAAAAAGGCUCUUGGAAGACAUGACUUGUGAGCAGACACUGGACAGUUUCCAGGGACAUAACAGUACAUGGACAUCUGCAUGGACAUCCCAAGAUAAAGAUGAAUGUCAUGUGUCAUCCAAUAUGAAAGUUUUGGAAGUUAGAAGACAGACUAAGAGCAAAGAAUAAAGCUUCCCCAGUGGUUUUGAUAUUCAGCUAAAGUUGAAAACUCCUGGAUUUGAAGUCGGAGAGCCAAGAAUGCCCUGCCUAGGUGGUAUGUCUUUGUUCCUCUGGCAGUGGGGAGCCAGCCCUCAGAGGUUUCUGCAAUUGAUGGCAUGAUCAAAGUGGAGUUAGCUAAAAUAAAUUGAUUUUUCGAGUACAUUUGAAUACAAGAGAAGUAAGAAACAGCUUGACUUAGAGUUUGUGGUAGUAUGAGAAAAGGAGGAGUCACAUUUUCAAGUAUGUGGGAGUUGGUGAUAAUCUGUAUCAUAAACUGAUUAUACAACCUCAUCCUCAUUAAUUUGAUCUCUUUUCUCUUCCAG